UACGUAGGGGGCAAGCGUUGUCCGGAUUUAUUGGGCGGAAAGAGCGUGUAGGCGGCCUGACAAGUCUGCUGUGAAAACUCGAGGCUCAACCUCGAGAUGUCGGCGGAAACUGUCUGGCUAGAGUCCGGAAGAGGAGAGUGGAAUUCCUGGUGUAGCGGUGAAAUGCGCAGAUAUCAGGAAGAACACCUAUGGCGAAGGCAGCUCUCUGGGACGGUACUGACGCUGAGACGCGAAAGCGUGGGGAGCAAACAGG
rnacentral:rRNA from 1 species